rnacentral:rRNA from 1 species
CCCUUAGAUGUUCUGGGCCGCACGCGUGCUACACUGAGUAAUUCAAUGGGUAAGGGAACGCUAGAGCAUUACCUAAUCUUGAAAUUUGCUCGUGAUGGGGAUCGACGGUUGCAAUUUUCCGUCGUGAACGAGGAAUACCUUGUAGGCGCAUGUCAUCAUCAUGCGCCGAAUACGUCCCUGCCCUUUGUACACACCGCCCGUCACUCCUACCGAUUGAGUGAUCCGGUGAGGCUCUGGGACCUGGACGGAAAGAGCGUUUCGCUUGUUCUGUUUGGGAAACUUGGUCGAACCUUAUCAUUUAGAGGAAGGAGAAGUCGUAACA